rnacentral:rRNA from 2 species
UACGGAGGGUGCAAGCGUUAUCCGGAUUCACUGGGUUUAAAGGGUGCGUAGGUGGGCAGGUAAGUCAGUGGUGAAAUCCCCGAGCUUAACUUGGGAACUGCCGUUGAUACUAUCUGUCUUGAAUAUCGUGGAGGUUAGCGGAAUAUGUCAUGUAGCGGUGAAAUGCUUAGAGAUGACAUAGAACACCAAUUGCGAAGGCAGCUGGCUACACGGUAAUUGACACUGAGGCACGAAAGCGUGGGGAGCAAACAGG